ACCCAUAAAGAUGAUGAUAUUUUAUCCCCAUCUUCUGGAUGAGAAUAUUGCACCACAUUUUUUCUUCUCUCCUCCUUACUUCCCAAUUGCAUUAAAAUAUUUUUCUUUGGAUUCAGGGAUCAUGGCCUGGGGAGAAACACAGCUUUUUGUAGAAGUAAAAAUGUGAACACAGAUACAAUUCUUCAUUUUCCCCAAACACACCAUGCAAUGCAAAGAUGCUACUUUUUGUCUGCAAUGAUUCUACCUAUUGUUAGUUCACUGCAUCCUCAGAGUCAGUGCACAGGCAGGAGAGACUGAGAUUAUUUAGAUUCUCAUAGUACAGCAUAUAAUGAGGAAGACAGGCUAGGAUGCCAUGGGUGCCACAUUAGUGCCUUCUUUAAGGUUCUGAUAUACAAGCAGCCCUGCCCCAGUUGGUUUGUAUUUAAAAGAAGAUCAUUUAUUAAGGUGCUGAUAUACAAACUCUGUCCCACCCGAGUUGGCUUGUGUUUAAAAGAGGAUCCUGACAAGUCUACCUAAAGAAGAUGAAAGAGAUAUUGGGGGCAGGGGACAAUGGACUAGCUAAUGUGCAGAAAUAAACUUUACAGCUCUAGGCCAGGGCCACCAUAAAACUCUUCCACACUGUGCAGCACACAUUAUGACGGAAACAACAUGCCUUGGCUGGUGGCUUUGCUCCGUGUUCCUCAAGAGAGCUCUGGGUUGCAAACUUGCCUGCUCCCUGGCUGUCUCAUCUUUUACAUGUGAGGACCACAAUUCCUGACCUUUGCAGUGGCUGUAAACUUUGAGACAGGAAGGCAGGAUCUGCAGCUUGCCAGGGGCCUCGGAGGACUCUGGUGGCCCAUGCAGCUCUAUGGGCUUGGAACUUGAGCUCAUUGAGGAUGUCACCUACAGAUAAACAAGUGACACGUCUUGAACACAUUGCAAACAACUUUUAAAGGUCAUCUCAUCCAUGCCUCUGUCUCUUCUUUGGAAGACUUCAAAAUUAUUUCAGAGUGAAAAUGUCUCCUGUUUUCAAAAAUUGCCAAAUAUAAAUUAUAUGAAUGAGUUUGUUUAAACAACUUAGAGGACCAAAAUAAAAAAUUUUCUUAAGUCUAAUCAGUCGUGCUUCAGGAACAUAGGAUGUUUCCUCUUGUUCUGCCUUUUGGAAUGGUGAAGGGUAUUUCACUGACAUCUUGAAUCAUUUAGAGGGACUUAGGAUUCAAUUUAAUACAAUAAAUAUUUACUGAGCUUCUACGUAUCUGAUACUGAAAUGGGGCCGAGAGGGUCACAAAGUUGAUGAUCUGGGCUUCUUUCUCAUCUCAAGAAGCAUAAUUCCCACAUCACUCAUGAUGCAGAGUGUGGUAAAUGCCACAUAGUAAGGCCACAAGGAGAGGGUUUGGAGCCAUUGAUGUUACCUAGAAUCAAAUAAUUCUAUGGUGGAGACAAAGAUACUCAGGAGAGCACCUGCAUCUCAUCUGGACCAAAAGGAAUGGACACAACUGUCUGGAUGAGCUGUGGCACAGGCAUUCUGCCAAGAAGAGGAAGCUGGCAGAAGAGGCCUUGCAAGCCAAAUGGACUAAGACACCCCACCCUUGUGAAGGCGACAGAGGACUAGAAAUAAUGAACAAAUCUGCACUGAGCAUAACCCAUGAUGCAUAGUACUGCAGAACAGUGCUGUACAGUGCUCUUCAGGGCCUCACAGGAGGUGCAGAUGGGUGCCGUUGACAACACAGAGAGAAGAGAGAACCUAAACAAUGAAACAAGUCCCCUGCCCACGUGCUGUCAGACACUGGAGAAAAGAACAAAACCAAAGAAAAGCCACUGAGCAAACACAAUGGCCUUGUCUUCUACCUUUCUUGUGGCACAAUGCAGGACUGGACAGCACUGUCCUCCCCAUCCCAUCUCCUUCCCUCCCUCUACUCUCACCCCCCUCCACCAGCCUUCCUGCUCCCAAAGCACGUUACUGACUAGCAGCUUGCCAGUCCAGAUUGUAGUUUUAAUCCACCAACUAGUAUUGCAGCUCAUAGAAUGGCUUUGGAUUUAUGAAACAGGCUGAGGGGAAAUAAAGUACCCUAGUUUGUAGAUAAUAAAAGCUAAGAGUGGUGCAUCCAGGGAGAGAGGUGGGGUGCCAGGGGUUCUUAGGAAGGUAGUGGUACCACCUACUGCCAGAGUCUCUUUUGAAUUGGCUUUAUCCAGGAGUCCCAAAAGCCCUUUAAACUACUUCAUGGUAGCCUUUGACAGAGAACUCUUUGGCAGUGACUUGGAGAGGGUUUAUGAAGACAGUGCUCAGGCUUUGGUCAUGACACAGGCAGAUUGGGGAUGGAGUGGUACAUGUUUGAUUACAGUGUGUGUUGAGGGGCAAGGGGGCAGGUCUUGGUACAAUGACAACUAGCACGAGACCUUGAACUCAACAUGGAUUUUAA
rnacentral:lncRNA from 1 species